rnacentral:rRNA from 1 species
UACGUAGGAGGCGAGCGUUGUCCGGAGUUACUGGGCGUAAAGGGUGCGCAGGCGGCGGUUCGCGUGGAUAGGUGAAAUCUCCUGGCUUACCUGGGAGGAUGGUAUCCAGACGGGAUCGCUUGAGGGUCGGAGAGGGGCGUGGAAUUCCGGGUGGAGCGGUGAAAUGCGUAGAGAUCCGGAGGAACACCGACGGCGUAGGCAGCGCCCUGGACGACACCUGACGCUGAGGCACGAAAGCUAGGGGAGCGAAUGGG